UCAAAUAUAGUCAUGUACAUUGUCAAAGCUAAUUUAACAGUUUUACAGCUUACGCAACUUUUCCAAGGGAACACGGCAUCAUGUACUUAUCACUACAAGAUGAUUAAAUAAUGAAUUAAAUGUUGUAGAAUAUAAAUCUAAUUAACGAUGGAUUUGGACCACCGGGUGGAGCAGGACCCCUCUGCAGUAUUUGCCUGAUAAUUCUAUCCUCCAUAGGGAAGUGCUUAUGCAAAACAUCCUACUCCAUCUUCAUCAACUUCUCUUUCCCAUGAUACAACACUCUGCAGGCCUCAUUCGACUGCACGUUCACAAGAAAAACCACCAUCAUGGCCACCAAAAGCAUAUUCAAAAACUUCAUGUUGUUCCUUGUUUGGCAAACAAUAAUUUUGCUUCCCCUCUCAAGCUGUAUGUACUAAUGCAAACGAAAGAUGG
rnacentral:lncRNA from 1 species